rnacentral:SRP_RNA from 1 species
GCUGGGUGUGGUGGUGCGCACCUGUAAUCCCAGCUACUCGGGAGGCUGAGGCAGGAGAACUGCUUGAACCCAGGAGGUGGAGGUUGCAGUGAGCAGAGAUCACACCACUGUACUCCAGCCUGGGUGACAGAGCAAGACUCUGUCUUGA